rnacentral:rRNA from 1 species
GACGAACGCUGGCGGCGCGCUUAACACAUGCAAGUCGAGCGAAGCGGCGGACGGGUGAGUAACACGUGAGUAACCUGCCUUAGACAUUGGGAUAGCCUCGGGAAACCGGGAUUAAUACCAAAUGGUCUAAGAUGGACUCGCGUCCCAUUAGCUAGUUGGUGGGUAACGGCACACCAAGGCGACGAUGGAUAGCCGGCCUGGGAGGGUGAACGGCAACAUUGGAACUGAGCAACAGUCCAAACUCUACGUGAGGCAGCAGUGGUGAAUAGUGCACAACGGAGUGAGCGCUGAUGGAGCGACGCCGGGAGAACGAAGAAGGCUUUGAAGUCGUAAAGUUCUUUUAUAUGGGAAGCGGUACCAUAAGAAAAAGCCCCGGCUAACUACGUGCCAGCAGCCGCGGUAAUUC